CAGCAGUAGCCGCGGUAAUACGUAGGGCGCAAGCGUUAUCCGGAAUUAUUGGGCGUAAAGAGCUCGUAGGCGGUUUGUCGCGUCUGCCGUGAAAGUCCGGGGCUCAACCCCGGAUCUGCGGUGGGUACGGGCAGACUAGAGUGAUGUAGGGGAGACUGGAAUUCCUGGUGUAGCGGUGAAAUGCGCAGAUAUCAGGAGGAACACCGAUGGCGAAGGCAGGUCUCUGGGCAUUAACUGACGCUGAGGAGCGAAAGCAUGGGGAGCGAACAGGAUUAGAUACCCGCGUAGUCCCUGUCUCUUAUAC
rnacentral:rRNA from 1 species